AUUAAUUAAUAAACACGGGUUCUUAAAUAAUGUAUUAUUAAAAAAAGUUGAUUUAUAUUUUAAAAAGAGUUGAGAUUUUUCCGCGUGUAUAAAUACACGUACUAUCUUCUCCUUAUUUCAAAUUACAGAAGACCGGGGAACUUCAUACGCUACUCUGCUGAAGUUGUACGCUACCGGCCCUUAACACUCCGGUGACGAUGUACGAUCAAAACUAUUCAAUACCAGCGCUUAACUUUCCAGUGACGGCGAUAAUACCUACUGCCAAGAUUCGCUACUCUUAUCUUGAAGCUAUCUGGUCGGAGCUUCCACGGCAAUCAUCACAUCAAUGUGAUCAAUUUUUCACCCCAGGUGAUGUAAGGCCAAGUGUGAAAAUGAAUCUUGUUAACAGCUAAAAGAGCAAAUUACAAGGUCAAGGGAAGUGCACAAGUACAUGUGAUGGGGAGUCAAAAGAAGGUAAACCAUUCCUGCCCCUGUUCCUGACCUGAAUAAGAGCUGAGUCUUUUCAGUUAUCCUACUUUUCAAGAUAAUCUUAGAAUGCAUUCGUAUUAAUCAUGAUAGUAUUAGAGAUUACAAUGCCUCUUUUUGUCUUGGUAAAAUGGAGGAGCUGAAUGACUUCUUCUGCUUUUUCUUCUUCCUUAAAAAAAUCAAUCUGUUUUACCUUGAUUACAAGCAUCAAUACAUUUACGCGAGUCCCCAUCCACCCUAGAGGAAAGCAUAGCUCUUGGUUGCAAAUAAUUCUUAAGAUUCUCUUCACCAUGAGAAUGCAUGUGUCAGAAUGUCCUUGGUUAAUGAAGAUUUUUCUGAAUCUCCUGACGAAUCUUGACCUCUGCAAUGUCUUGCUCUGAGUUUUUCACCUGGAGAAGUUCUCAAAAUAACCUUUGAUAUAAGACCCGGUUAACAUCAUCAGCUACUUCAAAUUUAACUCUAUAUUCAUCUUCAAGGCUAUUUUGUUUUUUUCUGUAGUACUUUUUAAAACUUAAUACGUACAUCACUAUUAAUAGAUGAUCCAUCAUGAGGAUGGUGGAGGUUUUGUCUUCCGUGGAAUUUCAAUAAAACUUGUUUUCUGUGGAGCCUGAUUAAACAGUUGGUUAGCACGGCACCUCGGGUGGUGGGUCUAUGAGAUUUUGGAAUGAAAUUUCCAUAUCAUGGUGUUUCUUCUCAGCUCAUAAGGUUAACUGAUGCAUGCAGCCACAACGGAUUUCAAUGCUUUUGGUGAAAUUAGACAUGACCUUCCACUUAUUUUUAUUGCUCUUUGUUUUAACUCAAAAUGGCAGUCAAACAUGUUGUCUGUUGAGUUGUAAACCUGUUGCUUGUUUGGCACUUCAAGUGGGUCUGUGAGAUUUUGGAGAAAGUUCCAUUUCAUGGUGUUCCUUCUCUGUCUCAUAAGGCUAACUGAUGCUUGAAGCCAUGACAGGUUCCUAUGCUUUUGAGUUGAUUCAUGUUUUGAAAACUUUAGUUUCUUUCCCACCCCUCAUCGAACUCCCUUUUUUCGUGAUAUUACAAAGGUAAUCCCUGUUUUUUUAUUCUUAUUACUCACUCUCUCUGUUUUAUACACAAUGAAGAUUUGGAGGUUUUCAUUUAUUGAUGUUCAAUCAAACAUGUUGCCUCUUUCCUGUCAAGCUAAAGAACUGUUGCUUGGCACGGCACUUCAUUUGGGUUUAUGAGAUUUUGGGAGAAGUUUCAUUUUUUGGUCUUUCUUUUCUGUUCCCUAGGCAUACCUUGCAGCCAUGCUGGGUUUCCAAGCUUUUGAGCUGAUCGUUUUUGGCAUUGCAAAGUUCAAUUUUUUUUUUGUCACUAAAUCACUGUUUUGGUGAAACUAUACGACUUCCUACUUUUCUUGUUCUUAUUACUCUCUCCGGUAUAACUCAAAAAUCAAUUUAACAUGUUCUGUCUUGAGCUGAAUUUUUUGCUUGGCGUGGCACCUCAGGUGGGAAUAUGAGAUUUAAGAGAAAGUUUCAUUUCAUGAUGCAUCUUCUCUGUCUCAUAAGGCUAACUGAUGCUUGCAGCGAUGACAGAUUUCUAACCUUGUGAGCUGAUUCGUGUCUUGGCUUAAAGUUCGGUUUCCUUUCCCCCUUCAGCAAACCAUCCUUUUCGUGAAAUUACACAUGACCUUCCUCUUUUCUUGUUCUUAUUACUCUCUCUGCUCCUUUUUAAAAAACCAUGACGAUUUGUAGGUUCUCUUCCUUGGAAGUUCAAUAAAAAUUUGUAUGAUUUCACAAGGGUUGUUGAGAACUUGGUUUCAAACAGCUUUGAUGCAGGAAUUGUUACCAUGGGAGGCCAAAUGGAUAUUGUAAGGUUUAGGAGGACAACAAGUGUUUUGUACGUUGAAUUGAUGAUUGGUACAAAAGUAAUUGUUCAUGAUAUAUUUUACGACUAACCAGUUCGAAGGAAGCAAAUGCACUCCGAACACUUCUAGUUUCCUCAAAAUCAAACAAGUAGAAAGUAAUGAUUUACAUAUUUCUACUUCUAAAGUUGUACUUUGAUAUGAUUGAUCUUUUGGUUUGCUUAUAUAAUUUUGAAGUCCAAGUAUAGGGUCUCGCAUUCUCCGAAAGAUCUCUACUAAGAAUUUCUCUUGCGCAUCGUUUUGUGUCCUGCAAAAUUGUUGAUAUUGAAAGUGAGGAUGACCUGCUUUGCACACGUGCUUCUCCUUGUCCUUGCUGCUGUUGUCCAGUGGGUUUGGGAUUCAUCUGGGUUCCCUUAAAAAUUGAAUCCAAGCGCUGGUUCAUUCAAGUUUUCAGGAUGCCUCUCAGGUCCUGAUGUUUACACAAUGAGGGUAUACAUGCCCAAAUUGAUGGAUAAAGAGAUGUGAUAAGUCAUCUUUUCUACACGUUGUUUCCCUAACAACCACGGAUUAAUUUGCAGGUCCUUCAGUAUUUCAUUAUCCACUUAUUUUAGUAUGUUGUCAAGGAAACAGAAACCUAAUCUUUGGUUAAUAUUCACUAUACUGGAUGCUUGUUUUUUGUACGAUGUCUUUGUUUUCCUUGACCUCCGUAAUGCAAAUAUCAAUUCAAGAUUUGUUUCCAAAGGACCAAUAAAUAAAUUACUUAACAACAUAGCUAUGAGUUUUGGCAGUGCAUCUGACAUUGAGAAGCAAAAUAGAUCUCAGAUAUAUCCACUGUUUUUGGAGCCUUCAAAGACAUUUGUGGAAUUUAAGGAUAUGUUAAGGAUGUUCAAACGGUUUUCAACAACCUUGAAGGCCCCACUCUCACAGCUUAAAAAAAAGUUUAAUUAUUAAGAAAGUUCUGCUCAAUUUAUUAUUUUACUUCAUCUUCUGAGGCUGUACUUUUUUUCUCACGGAAUGGACUGGUGUUGAUGGGAGAAAGAUAUGUGUGUGUUGAGGAUGUUUAAGAAUUUGUUUUUACCUUUUGAGUGAGAUGGGAAGCAUUAAGUGAAUGCCUGAGGCUUUGGAGCUCAAUUCUGUCACAGGGGUUAUCUUGUAUUAUUUCACAAGGGUUGUUGAGGAGUUGGUUUUCAGCAGCCCAGAUGCUGGUGCCACCAAGUAUUUUGAAAGAAGACACUCGUUGGACAGAUUUUCGUGAACGCGUGCACUGGCCAUUUUUCCUUUACAUGGGCUAGUCUUUUUUGACUUCGGUUGUUUCUUAAAAAUGGAAAAUCGUGCCAUGUUCCAUCAAUAUAUCCACGUGAACCACCAAAAGUCAAGUGCAAGACCAAGGCACAACUGUUUUUCCUUCUCUUCCACUUGCAUAUAUUCUGACAUGAGCCAGAGAAGAUGACUCUCAUUAGCUUUCUGUGUGAGAUGCAGGUAUAUCAUCCUAAUAUCGAUUUGGAGAGUAAUAUAUACCUCAACAUACUAAGAGAAGGUUGAAACCCGUUCUCAGUAUCAACACAAUUAGCCAUGGAUUGUAUCUUCGUUUCACGGAACCAAACCAUGAGGAUCCCCUUAAUCUCGAGGCUGCUGCUGUUGAGAGAUAAUCCUGAGUUUAAAUAAAAUGUGAAAAGGGCUAUGCAUUGUGGAACUGUAGUGAAUAUAAGCUUCACGCAAUGCAUGUAACCUGUCCUCUGGUGCUGGUAAUAGUGUUUCUGAUUAGAUGCUGUAUCAUUUUGAGGUGUGCUGGGUUGUAUAUGGUGUCCGCAAACUUGCAGUGCCAUCUUAUCUGAGUGUGUCAUUUUAGCUUUAAGUUCUUUGACGUGUAUCCAUUGAUGUAUCUGUUAUGCUGGCUGAACAGCAUGUCAUGAACAUAAAGUAAACAAAUGGAAUGGUUAUAUAUAGACGAAA